rnacentral:rRNA from 1 species
AUGAGACCGAGCAUGGAGCCCAGGUUCGAGGCCUCCUUGUGCCUUCCCCCGGACGCCCUCGACAUCCUCUCCUCCGGCAGCACCGCCGUCCUUCCUAGUUGGGUCCUCCUCGACUCGCUAGCCUACAUGGUGCCCCCCGGCAGUGCAGUCCGUAACCACACCACCGCCCAAACCAUGAUGCCCGACGGCCGCACCAUUGAGGUAACCUUUCUCAUCGCCGAUCCCCCACGUCGCUCCUACUGGUGCGUCUCCGUCUGCUGUCCAGAUGCUGCUCCUCAUGGCGAUGGCAACCAAGAGCAAGAGCAAGAGCAAGAGGAGGAGGACAACCCCUUGGACUGCAUCCCCAAGGUGGUUUCCUUGGCGGACCACCUCGCCCUCAUCAAAGUCGGCUUAACAACCUGCAACCACUGGCUGUGGUUGGUCUACUCCGCCUCCGCCAGAGGGCCGCCGUCGCUCCUCCUGCUCCCGGACAUCCAUGACCAUCAACCGUUGAUGGAACCCUUGGGCAUCGUGCCGUCCUGUGAGUGUGACAACAAAUUAGGUGGCUGCAUUGUGGCUGCUCUCAGCUACAACUACCAGCAGGUGGAUCCUCAGUAUGACCUCCAUCUCUUCAGCUACCACGGCGAGGGCUCCACUUGGACUUGUACGCAGCAACACCUAUCGGUGGACUACGGCCAAACCAGGAGGCCCCGCCGUCUCUUUCCAACCAAGGUGAUUUCCCUCGGAGACGGGCUGCUAGGCUGGGUCGAUCUCUGGGAGGGGAUCCUCGUCUGCGAUGUGCACGCUGCUGCUGCUGCUGCUGCCGCCAAAGAAGGAGGCUCCGCCACGGCGCACUUCGUCCCCAUGCCAAGGCCGCUGCCCGGCAACCAAGACCUAUACCGCCAGCAUGAUUCCUCGGCGCGUCCGCUGCGCGACGCAACCUUCGGCCACGGUCACAUCAGGUGUGUGGAGAUCGAGCAGCUGGUGAGGCCCAAGCCCAGGGCAGCACCGGUCGUGCACGAUCCCUCCACCUUGCUUCUACUCUUGGAUUCACAGUCACCCAUGGUCCCGGAGAAAGACGAAUAUGAGGUCGUCGGUUGGCGGCUCAUCACUUGGUUUAGGGCGCUCACCUGGGGCCACUGGCAGCGAGGAGCCAUACUCCAUUCCGACGACCUGAUUGGAACAAGAGGAAAUCUGGCAUGGGAGGACCUGCAAACGUGCUCUCCCCUUCUCUGUGCCAACGACGACGACGCUGUUUUCCUCACGUCCAUGCUCAAAAAUCGCCCCCACCAAGACAAAACUGAUUGGAUCGUCACUCUUGACAUGAAAACCAAGUCGAUGACGAAUCAACCUAUGCCAUUCUCUGCAGACAGGGCUCCACAUGACGAUCCAACCCACAUCGCAUGCGGCCUCACCAAAUAUCUCACCUCACACGAUAUUGCCAACUCUGAUAAGUUGAACACGUCAGGGAAGAAGCGGCCGCGGCUUUCACAGGCAACUCAAGGGCAGCAACAACCUUUAAAAAAGCUCCUCCAGCCUUCUUCAUCAGGGACAGGGAAUUGA